ACAACGGUAGAGCCGAAACCACCCAACAGACAGUUGAAGACACUUAACAAUACCAACACACCAGAGAUAUGUUACACUAUCUAUCUACAGGUCUGGAAACAGUUGAACACACAACAAUACCAACACACCAGAGAUAUGUUACACUAUCUAUCUCCAGGUCUGGAACCAGUUGUACCAACACACCAGAGAUAUGUUACACUAUCUAUCUACAGGUCUGGAAACAGUUGAACACACAACAAUACCAACACACCAGAGAUAUGUUACACUAUCUAUCUCCAGGUCUGGAACCAGUAACCAUUAAUCCAUCCAUCGUGGAAAGCAUCAGAUACAGUGACUAAGUGAACAUGAUGGAUGGAGCAUCCUCUAGUACUAUAUAGUCAG